rnacentral:rRNA from 1 species
UGCAAGUCGAACGGCAGCACGGGAGCAAUCCUGGUGGCGAGUGGCGAACGGGUGAGUAAUAUAUCGGAACGUGCCCAGUCGUGGGGGAUAACGCAGCGAAAGCUGUGCUAAUACCGCAUACGAUCUAUGGAUGAAAGCGGGGGAUCGCAAGACCUCGCGCGAUUGGAGCGGCCGAUAUCAGAUUAGGUAGUUGGUGGGGUAAAGGCUCACCAAGCCGACGAUCUGUAGCUGGUCUGAGAGGACGACCAGCCACACUGGAACUGAGACACGGUCCAGACUCCUACGGGAGGCAGCAGUGGGGAAUUUUGGACAAUGGGCGCAAGCCUGAUCCAGCAAUGCCGCGUGCAGGAUGAAGGCCUUCGGGUUGUAAACUGCUUUUGUACGGAACGAAACGGUCUGCUCUAAUACAGUGGGCUAAUGACGGUACCGUAAGAAUAAGCACCGGCUAACUACGUGCCAGCAGCCGCGGUAAUACGUAGGGUGCGAGCGUUAAUCGGAAUUACUGGGCGUAAAGCGUGCGCAGGCGGUUAUAUAAGACAGAUGUGAAAUCCCCGGGCUCAACCUGGGACCUGCAUUUGUGACUGUAUAGCUAGAGUACGGCAGAGGGGGAUGGGAAUUCCGCGUGUAGCA